GAGGUGGAGGAGGGCGACUACGAGGUGGAGGAGGCGACGGAUUUCUUCACAGAACCAGAAGAAAAAGAAACUGAAAGGUUUUCGACUCCCACAGUCCGGUCUGACAGGAGGCGCAGUAUCAGCGGUCAGAGCAGUGACUCAGGAGACCACAUCCACCUCUGGAUCCGCAUCCUACCUCAUAAUCCCCCUGCCGACAUCACCAGCCCGAACUGUAAAUUAUAUCAUCUACCUUUAAAAUCUGAAAUAAAUCAGUGAAGGAUCGAGAGUGAGCUGGUUCUGAUCAGAACUUAUUCUGUUUCAGCGUUCAGCCGGUUCCCGUCACACAAGCUGAAGUGUCCUCGCGCUCUGCAGGAGGAGGACUUCCUGAACCUGCUGAGGUCCACGUUCCCUCAGCUGGCCGCUCCGACACGUUUUGACUUGUUCACAGAAAAUUGGGGGAAACUGAAGCCGCUCGAAGUCCAGACGCUGACGCCCGAGGAGAUGUUCAGAACCACCAGGCUCUGGACCUUCUUCACCGGCUGAAGGUGACCGGCAGCUUCUUUAAGGUCGCACUGAUGCGUUGCGUUUGCUUUGUUUUUGUAGCAAGUGAAUCUGUUUGGUUUCUGUGUAACUCUGACCCCCUGGUGUUUAAAACAGGUACUGCAGUGUGUGAGCAUGUUUCCUGGGUUGGUCAUUUUUAGCAUGAUUUUGUGCUCCCUCUAAAGCCACGCCCCCUCACUUACAUGCAUGAGCUGCUAAAGGGACAAAAUAAUGAUUAAUGCAAAUUAAAAUAGACUGCAUCAGUUUCCUUUAACUACAUCGUGAUUAUUGCAUUAACGCCGACCGCUCUGGUUUCUGUCUCGUUGAAUCAAGUCUCUCGAUUUCUCUUUGUGGUGUAAUAGUCAUCGUUGCUGUUUUUUCCAUCAGAGUUCAUCUCUGAAGUCAAAGAUCAAAUAUUUUUAUAAUCUGUAAAUUGAAAGUCAAUAAGUAGUCAGUCAUCAUCACUGACUUCUGCGGUGAACCUGAAGUCAUCCGGGGAAUAUAUUAUUAUAUUAGUUAAUAUUUAUUUAACUCUGAAACUGCAAACUGGUUACCACACUGUGUAAUAUCUGUUAAACACAGUUCAUCUUGUACAUUCAGAAUGUCAAUAUUGAUUUAUCUUGUAUAUAUAUCUUAUUAUUGUAGCCCUACUUGGUACUUACUGCUUAUUCUAUUUUAUUUCCUACUGCUGUAUUCCUUUGAAGAGCAAUGGUAACAUCUGGGAUUAAUAAAGUAUUUCUGAUUCUGAA